rnacentral:precursor_RNA from 7 species
AAUGGAAUGUUGAAACUGCUCCUGUUGGGAGACCCUGGUCUGCACUCUAUCUGUAAACUUACUGAAGGGAGAGCAGGGCAGGGUUUCCCAUACAGAGGGCACAGGCUACUAAUGGGA